rnacentral:tRNA from 1 species
GCGGUGGUGGUUCAGAGGUAGAAUUCUCACCUUCCACGCAGGAGACCUGGGUUCAAUUCCUGGCCAGUGUA